UGCAGUCGAACGGCAGCACGGGAGCAAUCCUGGUGGCGAGUGGCGAACGGGUGAGUAAUAUAUCGGAACGUGCCCAGUCGUGGGGGAUAACGCAGCGAAAGCUGUGCUAAUACCGCAUACGAUCUAUGGAUGAAAGCGGGGGAUCGCAAGACCUCGCGCGAUUGGAGCGGCCGAUAUCAGAUUAGGUAGUUGGUGGGGUAAAGGCUCACCAAGCCGACGAUCUGUAGCUGGUCUGAGAGGACGACCAGCCACACUGGAACUGAGACACGGUCCAGACUCCUACGGGAGGCAGCAGUGGGGAAUUUUGGACAAUGGGCGCAAGCCUGAUCCAGCAAUGCCGCGUGCAGGAUGAAGGCCUUCGGGUUGUAAACUGCUUUUGUACGGAACGAAACGGUCUGCUCUAAUACAGUGGGCUAAUGACGGUACCGUAAGAAUAAGCACCGGCUAACUACGUGCCAGCAGCCGCGGUAAUACGUAGGGUGCGAGCGUUAAUCGGAAUUACUGGGCGUAAAGCGUGCGCAGGCGGUUAUAUAAGACAGAUGUGAAAUCCCCCGGGCUCAACCUGGG
rnacentral:rRNA from 1 species